AUUGAACGCUGGCGGCAGGCCUAACACAUGCAAGUCGAGCGGAUGAAGGGAGCUUGCUCCUGGAUUCAGCGGCGGACGGGUGAGUAAUGCCUAGGAAUCUGCCUGGUAGUGGGGGAUAACGUCCGGAAACGGGCGCUAAUACCGCAUACGUCCUGAGGGAGAAAGUGGGGGAUCUUCGGACCUCACGCUAUCAGAUGAGCCUAGGUCGGAUUAGCUAGUUGGUGGGGUAAAGGCCUACCAAGGCGACGAUCCGUAACUGGUCUGAGAGGAUGAUCAGUCACACUGGAACUGAGACACGGUCCAGACUCCUACGGGAGGCAGCAGUGGGGAAUAUUGGACGAUGGGCGAAAGCCUGAUCCAGCCAUGCCGCGUGUGUGAAGAAGGUCUUCGGAUGGUAAAGCACUUUAAGUUGGGAGGAAGGGCGGUAAGUUAAUACCUUGCUGUUUUGACGUUACCAACAGAAUAAGCACCGGCUAACUUCGUG
rnacentral:rRNA from 1 species